GAAAGCCGUAUACACCGAGAGGUGUAAGUACGGUUUGGGAGGGAGUGGAAAUAAGUCCUUUUUAUGUGGAGGAUGCGUGGAAGCUUACCUCAU
rnacentral:ncRNA from 1 species